rnacentral:rRNA from 1 species
AGAGUUUGAUCCUGGCUCAGAUUGAACGCUAGCGGGAUGCUUUACACAUGCAAGUCGAACGGCAGCACGAGAGAGCUUGCUCUCUUGGUGGCGAGUGGCGGACGGGUGAGUAAUAUAUCGGAACGUGCCCAGUAGCGGGGGAUAACUACUCGAAAGAGUGGCUAAUACCGCAUACGCCCUACGGGGGAAAGGGGGGGAUCGCAAGACCUCUCACUAUUGGAGCGGCCGAUAUCGGAUUAGCUAGUUGGUGGGGUAAAGGCUCACCAAGGCAACGAUCCGUAGCUGGUUUGAGAGGACGACCAGCCACACUGGGACUGAGACACGGCCCAGACUCCUACGGGAGGCAGCAGUGGGGAAUUUUGGACAGUGGGGGAAACCCUGAUCCAGCCAUCCCGCGUGUAUGAUGAAGGCCUUCGGGUUGUAAAGUACUUUUGGCAGAGAAGAAAAGGCAUCCCCUAAUACGGGAUGCUGCUGACGGUAUCUGCAGAAUAAGCACCGGCUAACUACGUGCCAGCAGCCGCGGUAAUACGUAGGGUGCAAGCGUUAAUCGGAAUUACUGGGCGUAAAGCGUGUGUAGGCGGUUCGGAAAGAAAGAUGUGAAAUCCCAGGGCUCAACCUUGGAACUGCAUUUUUAACUGCCGAGCUAGAGUAUGUCAGAGGGGGGUAGAAUUCCACGUGUAGCAGUGAAAUGCGUAGAUAUGUGGAGGAAUACCGAUGGCGAAAGCAGCCCCCUGGGAUAUACUGACCGCUCAGACACGAAAGCGUGGGGAGCAACAGGAAUUAAAUACCUGGUAACCCACCCCCUAAACAAUGUCAACUAACUGUUGGGGGCCCUUAGGGCCUUAAUUACCCCAGCUAACCCGUGGAAGUGAACUGCCUGGGG